AUGCCUUUUCUAUUUCUUCCCUAUGCUUUGUUGGGUAGGGAUUCACUCACAUGCCCGGUCUCUUUCGACGCUCAUAACGAUCUUGUGAAGUGCAUCAUGAUCUCCAUUAAGAGGCUGCCCUGUGACUUGUUUUGGCCAAUGGAAUAUGAGAGCAGCACUAGCAGGGGUUUUAAACGGUUCGUGUGUUUUGGCUUUGUCUCCAGAGCAUCACUGGUGAGGAGGAGAGCUUGUUCUGAGUGUCCGCUAGAGCUCCACCACAUCCGAACUGCAGGCUAUUAAAUGAGAAAUAAAUACAAUUGCCAUCUGAGAUUUCA
rnacentral:lncRNA from 13 species